rnacentral:lncRNA from 1 species
UGGCACCUCUAUAAACAUAUGGGAUGAUAAAUGGUUUCCAAGACCCAGGGAGGGAAAAAUACGCUAUCAAAAAAUUAACAUCAAUUAUACAAAGGUUAGGGAUUUAAUCAAGCUAGAAUAAUUUACCUGGAAUGUUGAAACCCUUAGAAUUCUGUUUGAUGAAGAGACGAUGAAACAGAUCCUUAUGAUUCCACUAAUGUGUUAGAGCCAGCCAGAUGUUUUGGUUUGGUGGGGUGAUAAAUCAAAAGUUUACACAAUCAAAAGUAGUUAUAGAUGGCUUAUUACAGGUAGUAUACAUAAUACAAAAGAUAUCACCGCAUUACAAAAUAUAGGAAUGAAAUCUUCUUUUACAAAGAUAUGGAAUCUUAAAGUGGCAAAUAAAAUUCGGAUAUACAUGUAGAAAUUAACUAAGGGAUUUUUGCCAACACUUUACAACUUAAAAAAAAAAUGACUAGCGAGAAACGUAUGCUGCCCAAUUUCUAAGGAAGAUGAAGAAUCUGUGAUACACCUAAUUCGAGAUUGCAAAUUCACAAGAAAGAUCCUGCAAGAGCUGGGAGUUGAAGAUUCAAAUACAGACAGAAAUCAAAAUUGGCAAAAUUGGUUAGUGGACUUUUUUUUUUUUUAAAUGACAGUAUAAAAUGUAAGAUUCUUGUAGUUUCUUUCUAGGCACCAUGGUUUAACAGAAACAAAGUCUACCAUGAGGGUUUAACACCAAAAGAGCAAGAGGCGAUUUCUUUUAUUAAAGCAUACAUGGUGGAAAAUAAGUUACUUGAAGGUUCUUUGGUGCCAAACAAGGAUUUAAAUAGAGGUCGGGUAGUGAAAUAGUGGUCGCUAUAUAGAGGUAGCGGCGUCGUCCAAAACCGCUACCGCUGAAAAUAGCGGUGUGAAGCAGAGUCACACCAAUAACAGUGGAUCGCAGCCGUAAUUUAAUGGGUAACGGCCAAUUGCGGCAACAACAGGCCACUAUUCCCGUUAUUUUUCUGUUACAGUAAAAAUACUGAACGAAGCAAGAAUUGUUUUCCUCUCGUCUUGAGUUGAAUUAACGCUGAACAUGGAAAAGUCAGGGUUCGUUUCAUCGAGAAGUUGAUAAGUGAUCUCUUUCCAUCAAAGGAUGAUUUGGGUAGUAUUUAGUUCGAGUGUUCGACUAACAGAAAAUGCCGUCACAGACUCACUGACUAACAAUUGCAGGAACUGGAACGAGUUUUAGUUUCCAGGCAAGUACGAUCCCGAAGUUACCACCACCAUUACCUCAAAUCGUCCAAAACAAAUCUUACCCCAUAGAUUUCCUAUCAAGAAUUCUUCCAUUUACGUCGAUAAAUUGAGCGUCAAUCACGUUAUCACCGCCAGUACCGUAUUUCCUGAACAAUAAUCCGAAACCUCCACCGCUAAUAUAAUCGCCAACUCCAACGGAAUGAAAAACGCCACCCACAAAGGUGAGUGUUCUACUUUUCUCUGUAAUUCUAUAAUAAAUUUCACCAAGAAUCGUACCAACUUGAACCCUUGCAGCUCUGUUUUCAAUGUCAACAUCCACCGAUCGGAAAUUAACCAAGUCGACGACAACAAAGGGGACUUUGGCAACAUACGAAAGACCUUCGUAAUCAUGGCCCCCACUUUGGGUCUUAAUUUGGAGCCCAUGUUUCCUCGAACAGUAAAUCGUUGCUUGAAAAUGGGAUGUUCGCGACAGUGUUACGGUGACCAAAGGCUUUGGGGUAUUGUAAAUUUUAAGAAAAAAAUUCAACUCCUCUAAAAAAACCAAUAGAAAUACAAUGAGAAAAAAAUGAAUAUAUUCUUCACCUGCAAAAUCAAAUAGUUUUGAAUCAAAAAAAGUAAAAGAAGUCCAAAUACAACAGAAAAAAGCAAUCAAAAGCAAUAGAAAAAUAUGAAAUUCUCUCAUAUUUCACUGUCUAAACACCAAACCAAACAAAAUCACAACACAAACAAAAAAAUCUCUAAAACAAAAUCUUACUUGAACAUUCAGAGAUUUAUAAUUUUCAACUUUCAAGUAAGUACCUGAAUUUUUUUGUCUUGAUUCUUGCUUCUUUUUGUUGUAAAAUGCUUGAAAUUGCGAACAUAUAUUUUAAUGGAUAGAUAACAAACAAGUUUUGAAUCUACAAAUAUAAUUUUUAGGUUAGGGAUGACUGAUGAGAAAUAGUUAGGAAGAAGGGAAAAGGUUUGGACGGAUGCUUUGAAUGGGUUUUGAAAAACUUUUAGGGGUUUCCAAUGUUUUUGUUUUUUUCAUUUAUUGUUGACGGUUCUUGAGACUUGAGAGCUGAUGGCCUAAUGCUUUAUUUUUUCCUACCAUCCAUUUGUUUUUUUAUAUUAUAAGAUUUUUUUUUCUGGCUUGUGGAUUUAUAUUUGAUUUUUG